GUGCCAGCAGCCGCGGUAAUACGGAGGAUGCGAGCGUUAUCCGGAUUCAUUGGGUUUAAAGGGUGCGUAGGCGGACUAAUAAGUCAGUGGUGAAAUCCUGCAGCUUAACUGCAGAACUGCCAUUGAUACUGUUAGUCUUGAGUUUGGUUAAGGUAGGCGGAAUGUGUAAUGUAGCGGUGAAAUGCUUAGAUAUUACACAGAACACCAAUUGCGUAGGCAGCUUACUGGACCGACACUGACGCUGAGGCACGAAAGCGUGGGGAUCGAACAGGAUUAGAUACCCGCGUAGUCC
rnacentral:rRNA from 1 species